rnacentral:rRNA from 1 species
AACAUUAGCCACAUCACCAUAAUGGCCAAGAGCGGUUACUCACUGAAGCUAAGCAGGGCUGAGCCUGGUCAGUGUCUGGAUGGGAGACCACUAGGGAACACUAGGUUGCUGUUUGGA